rnacentral:rRNA from 1 species
UACGUAGGGUGCGAGCGUUAAUCGGAAUUACUGGGCGUAAAGCGUGCGCAGGCGGUUUUGUAAGCCAGGUGUGAAAUCCCCGGGCUCAACCUGGGAAUGGCAUUUGGGACUGCAAGGCUGGAGUGCGGCAGAGGAGACUGGAAUUCCUGGUGUAGCGGUGAAAUGCGUAGAUAUCUGGAGGAACACCGGUGGCGAAGGCGGCAUCCUGGACCAAUACUGACGCUGAGUGAGCGAAAGCCAGGGGAGCAAACGGG